GCCCGGCUAGCUCAGUCGGUAGAGCAUGAGACACUAUCUCAGGGUCGUGGGUUCGAGCCCCGCGUUGGGCG
rnacentral:tRNA from 1 species